rnacentral:rRNA from 1 species
AGUGAACGCUGGCGGUAGGCCUAACACAUGCAAGUCGAACGGCAGCACAGUAAGAGCUUGCUCUUACGGGUGGCGAGUGGCGGACGGGUGAGGAAUACAUCGGAAUCUACUUUUUCGUGGGGGAUAACGUAGGGAAACUUACGCUAAUACCGCAUACGACCUACGGGUGAAAGCAGGGGAUCUUCGGACCUUGCGCGAUUGAAUGAGCCGAUGUCGGAUUAGCUAGUUGGCGGGGUAAAGGCCCACCAAGGCGACGAUCCGUAGCUGGUCUGAGAGGAUGAUCAGCCACACUGGAGCUGAGACACGGUCCAGGCUCCUACGGGAGGCAGCAGUGGGGAAUAUUGGACAAUGGGCGCAAGCCUGAUCCAGCCAUACCGCGUGGGUGAAGAAGGCCUUCGGGUUGUAAAGCCCUUUUGUUGGGAAAGAAAAGCAGCAGGUUAAUACCCCGCUGUUCUGACGGUACCCAAAGAAUAAGCACCGGCUAACUUCGUG